rnacentral:rRNA from 1 species
AGACGGAGGGGGCUAGCGUUGUUCGGAAUUACUGGGCGUAAAGCGCGCGUAGGCGGAUUGAUCAGUCAGAGGUGAAAUCCCAGGGCUCAACCCUGGAACUGCCUUUGAUACUGUCAGUCUUGAGUUCGAUAGAGGUGAGUGGAAUUCCGAGUGUAGAGGUGAAAUUCGUAGAUAUUCGGAGGAACACCAGUGGCGAAGGCGGCUCACUGGCUCGAUACUGACGCUGAGGUGCGAAAGCGUGGGGAGCAAACAGGAGUAGAAACCCGGGUAGUCC